UGGGGAAUAUUGCACAAUGGGCGCAAGCCUGAUGCAGCCAUGCCGCGUGUGUGAAGAAGGCCUUCGGGUUGUAAAGCACUUUCAGCGAGGAGGAAGGUGGUGAGCUUAAUACGCUCAUCAAUUGACGUUACUCGCAGAAGAAGCACCGGCUAACUCCGUGCCAGCAGCCGCGGUAAUACGGAGGGUGCAAGCGUUAAUCGGAAUUACUGGGCGUAAAGCGCACGCAGGCGGUUUGUUAAGUCAGAUGUGAAAUCCCCGGGCUCAACCUGGGAACUGCAUUUGAAACUGGCAAGCUAGAGUCUCGUAGAGGGGGGUAGAAUUCCAGGUGUAGCGGUGAAAUGCGUAGAGAUCUGGAGGAAUACCGGUGGCGAAGGCGGCCCCCUGGACGAAGACUGACGCUCAGGUGCGAAAGCGUGGGGCAGCAAACAGGAUUAGAUACCCUGGUAGUCCACGCUGUAAACGAUGUCGAUUUUGGAGGUUGUGCCCUUGAGGCGUGGCUUCCGGAGCUAACGCGUUAAUCGACCGCCUGGGGAGUACGGCCGCAAGGUUAAAACUCAAAGGAAUUGACGGGGUCAUAGCUG
rnacentral:rRNA from 1 species